rnacentral:rRNA from 1 species
UUUAUCGGAGAGUUUGAUCCUGGCUCAGGACGAACGCUGGCGGCGUGCCUAAUACAUGCAAGUCGAGCGGACAGAUGGGAGAUUGCUCCCUGAUGUUAGCGGCGGACGGGUGAGUAACACGUGGGUAACCUGCCUGUAAGACUGGGAUAACUCCGGGAAACCGGGGCUAAUACCGGAUGGUUGUUUGAACCGCAUGGUUCAAACAUAAAAGGUGGCUUCGGCUACCACUUACAGAUGGACCCGCGGCGCAUUAGCUAGUUGGUGAGGU